rnacentral:rRNA from 1 species
UACGUAGGGGGCAAGCGUUGUCCGGAAUCAUUGGGCGUAAAGAGCGUGUAGGCGGCUUGGUAAGUCCGCUGUGAAAGUCCAGGGCUCAACCCUGGAAUGCCGGUGGAAACUGUCAAGCUUGAGUCCGGAAGAGGCGAGUGGAAUUCCUGGUGUAGCGGUGAAAUGCGCAGAUAUCAGGAGGAACACCAAUGGCGAAGGCAGCUCGCUGGGACGGAACUGACGCUGAGACGCGAAAGCGUGGGGAGCAAACAGG